GACGAACGCAGGCGGCGUGCCUAUACAUGCAAGUCGAACGAGAGCGACCGGUGCUUGCACUGGUUAAUCUAGUGGCGAACGGGUGAGUAACACGUGGGUAACCUGCCCAUCAGAGGGGCAUAGCAUCCGGAAACGGAUGCUAAAACCGCAUAGGUCUUCGAGCUGCAUGGCUUGAAGAGGAAAAGAGGCGCAAGCUUCUGCUGAUGGAUGGACCCGCGGUGCAUUAGCUAGUUGGUGAGGUAACGGCUCACCAAGGCCGUGAUGCAUAGCCGACCUGAGAGGGUGAUCGGCCACAUUGGGACUGAGACACGGCCCAAACUCCUACGGGAGGCAGCAGUAGGGAAUCUUCCGCAAUGGACGCAAGUCUGACGGAGCAACGCCGCGUGAGUGAAGAAGGUUUUCGGAUCGUAAAACUCUGUUGUUAGAGAAGAACAAGUGCUAGAGUAACUGUUAGCGCCUUGACGGUAUCUAACCAGAAAGCCACGGCUAACUACGUGCCAGCAGCCGCGGUAAUACGUAGGUGGCAAGCGUUGUCCGGAUUUAUUGGGCGUAAAGCGAGCGCAGGCGGUUCCUUAAGUCUGAUGUGAAAGCCCCCGGCUCAACCGGGGAGGGUCAUUGGAAACUGGGGAACUUGAGUGCAGAAGAGGAGAGUGGAAUUCCAUGUGUAGCGGUGAAAUGCGUAGAUAUAUGGAGGAACACCAGUGGCGAAGGCGACUCUCUGGUCUGUAACUGACGCUGAGGCUCGAAAGCGUGGGUAGCAAACAGG
rnacentral:rRNA from 1 species